CCGAGUGCGGGUCCCUCGCGGCCCAACCUCCCACCCUUGUCUCUAUACACCUGUUGCUUUGGCGGGCCCACUGGGGCCACCUGGUCGCCGGGGGACGUACUGUCCCCGGGCCCGCGCCCGCCGAAGCGCGCUGUGAACCCUGAUGAAGAUGGGCUGUCUGAGUACCUAUGAAAAUUGUCA
rnacentral:misc_RNA from 1 species